rnacentral:rRNA from 1 species
GAAUCUUCCGCAAUGGACGAAAGUCUGACGGAGCAACGCCGCGUGAGUGAUGAAGGUUUUCGGAUCGUAAAGCUCUGUUGCCAGGGAAGAACGAUGGGGAGAGUAACUGCUCUCAAGGUGACGGUACCUGCGAAGAAAGCCCCUGAUAACUACGUGCCAGCAGCCUGGGUAAUACGUAGGGGGCAAGCGUUGUCCGGAAUUAUUGGGCGUAAAGGGGGCGCAGGCGGUUCAUUAAGUCUGGUGGUUAAGGCUAGGGCUCAACCCGGGUUCGCACUGGAAACUGGUGAACUUGAGUGCAGAAGAGGAAAGUGGAAUUCCACGUGUAGCGGUGAAAGGCGUAGAGAUGUGGAGGAACACCAGUGGCGAAGGCGACUUUCUGGGCUGUAACUGACGCUGAGGCGCGAAAGCGUGGGGAGCAAACA